ensembl:lncRNA
GUUAUGAUUGAAUGGAAGGAACCCAGGUGCAGACAACAAAGGUUGAAUUAAAGCAGAGGUUUAUUGUAGGGAGGAUGACAUCAGUAGGGAACAAACAGGAGGGGGACGUUCGGGGAUGGACUAUAGGCAGGCAGGGCUGCAGGCAGGUGGAGGAGCACACAGGGUGGAUGGCGGGCAGAGGAGCACACAGGGUGGAUGGCGGGCAGGUAGAGGAGCACACAGGGUGGAUGGCGGGCAGAGGAGCACACAGGGUGGAUGGCGGGCAGAGGAGCACACAGGGUGGAUGGCGGGCGGGUAGAGGAGCCAGGCCCGCCGCUCCCUAUACGAAGAGUACGUGCGUAGGGCACCAAGUACCUGAGGGGGCACCAAAAAUUAAGGUUUGUAAAAAAAAAAAAAAAAACAUUAUUGAAUUAAAAAAAUAUGUAAAUUAGUUAUGACGAGGCCCACCGUUGUUUGUUCUUA